rnacentral:rRNA from 1 species
GACGAACGCUGGCGGCGUGCCUAAUACAUGCAAGUAGAACGCUGAAGAGAGGAGCUUGCUCUUCUUGGAUGAGUUGCGAACGGGUGAGUAACGCGUAGGUAACCUGCCUUGUAGCGGGGGAUAACUAUUGGAAACGAUAGCUAAUACCGCAUAACAAUGGAUGACACAUGUCAUUUAUUUGAAAGGGGCAAUUGCUCCACUACAAGAUGGACCUGCGCUGUAUUAGCUAGUAGGUGAGGUAAUGGCUCACCUAGGCGACGAUACAUAGCCGACGUGAGAGGGUGAUCGGCGACACUGGAACUGGGCCACGGCCCAGACUCCUGCGGGACGCAGCAGUAGGGAAUGGGCGGCAAUGGGGGGAGACAUGACCGAACAACCCCGAGUGAGUGACGACGGUGUUCGGAUCGUAAAGAUGUGUUGUAAGUCAAGAACGGGUGUGAGCGUGGAAAGUUCACACUGUGACGGGAGCGUACAAGAAAGGGACGGCUAAUUACGU